AAUUACUAGCACAAACUAAAAACUCAAAAGACUUGACGGUGCUCUACCCUACCUAGAGGAGCCUGUCCUAUAAUCGAUACUCCACGAUCCACCCGACCUUUACUAGAACAUCAGCCUAUAUACCGCCGUCGAAAGAAUAUCCUGCAAAGGCCCAAUAAUUGACCAAAUAGUCCUCUCUAAAACGUCAGGCCAAGGCAUAGCUUAUGUAAAGGCAGAGAUGGGCUACAUUUUUUAAUUUAAAAAAUACGAAAAAUAAUGUGAAACCCAUUAUCCAAAGGCGGAUUUAGCA
rnacentral:rRNA from 1 species